CUUAAACGUUGUUAACUUUCCCUCUGUUGAGGUUAUCUAUCUAAUUUAAUUUCUGUUGUUUUGUGGUAGUAGAAGGAGUUAAGCUGGUGGAGGUCUGUAGCGGUCCUGAUGUGCAAAUCGGUCGUCUGACCUGGGUAUAGGGGUGAAAGACUAAUCAAACCAUCUAGUAGCUG
rnacentral:ncRNA from 1 species